GAUGAACGCUAGCGACAGGCCUAACACAUGCAAGUCGAGGGGCAGCACGAAGUAAGCUUGCUUACUUUGGUGGCGACCGGCGCACGGGUGCGUAACAGGUGUGCAAUCUGUCCAUAAUCGGGGAAUAGCCCAGCGAAAGUUGGAUUAAUACCUGAUGUUGUUAUUUAUUCGCAUGUUUGAAUAACGAAAGAUUUAUUGGUAUAGGAUGGCGAUGCGUGGCAUUAGCUAGAUGGCGGGGUAACGGCCCACCAUGGCGACGAUGUCUAGGGGUUCUGAGAGGAAGGUCCCCCACACUGGAACUGAGACACGGUCCAGACUCCUACGGGAGGCAGCAGUGAGGAAUAUUGGUCAAUGGUCUGACGACUGAACCAGCCAUGCCGCGUGAAGGUGACGGCCCUAUGGGUCUUAAACUUCUUUUGUAAGGGUAGCAAUAAGUCUCACGUGUGGGAUGAUGAGAGUACCUUACGAAUAAGC
rnacentral:rRNA from 1 species